UUAGGCAACAUUUACAGUUAAUAUCAAGGUUAAAUGAACAAUUUUGAACAAUUUCGCCAUCUGACCAGCUUAAAAUACGGGACAAAUCGCGUCCCGUACUGAUUCCAUUCGGGACGCGACUUUUCAUCUUUAAAAACGAGACAAUCCCGUAUUUUACAGGACAGGUGGCAACCCUACAACAUGAGCUCAUUGAUGUCAUUAAGUGAGUCUACUUUUUUUAUUCCAUCCGUUACUCCUGGUCGGAGGCUUCCGUAAAUAUUCAGUUUAUACGUAGGGUUACGUCCUACCUAAAAUGGUGAAAACACUGAUCUAUAUAACUGGAUUGCUCAUGACAUCACAACAGUGAAGCUACUGCGCCGCCAUCUUUGUAUUCCCUAACAUUCUGUACUCCCUUAGGGUCUUCAUGGGAAAUCAUCUGUUUUUGAAGCAGCAUUACCUUCAGCUGCUCACAUGUUACCUCAACAGAAACAAGUUUAAGAAAAUGAGUGCAGGCCUGAACACAGCCCAACUCGUGGGCAUAAUUUCUAAAGUGGUUAAUUGGAAUUCACGUGGAGCACAUGGAUAUUGUAGAUGUUAAACAAGGCUGAACGUCACUUUGCCGAAAUGCCAGCAUAUCAGAAGGUGUUGCCUCCAGCACCACUGUGCUAUCCAGUGGAGAACAGUUGCCACUAGCUCUGAUGGCAUGUCUUGCUACCAUUCUUUUGAAAGCUGACUUAAAUUGCCUUGCUGUGGGAUUGUUGUUAAAUCCAUUAGCAGAUUGAAUGGCUGCAAAAAACAGCUCAAGGUGGUCCUGGCUAAAUUUGUAGGUCAACAGAUACCAUAGCUGUGAUGUCUGUGGUCUCACUAACCCAUCAUAUAAUUGUUUAAAACUUUUAAUUGCCAUGAGGAAGCCGAGGAAGGCAGUUUUCUUGCCUGUUGUCACAAGGGAUCGCCUACUGAUACCUGGCUUUCUCAAUCCAUUGAUGUAAUCGUAAGCCUCUGUUAGAAAGGCCAUUGGCCUGCCUCAGGGGGCUUUUAAAUCCCCUGGCCAUGGGGUUUCUGGGAUUCAUCAGGUCAAAUAGCCGAUCAAAAGUUAAUGAAUUUACACGUCGGCUCACAUCCAGCAAACUGGGGGAGUUGCAGGUAUUGGUCGCAGAACUGUAGGGCAUCUGCAACACUGGCACUGAGGGUCUGAGCAGCAAGGUUUACCUUCAUUUUUUUACUUUGCCAGUCUAGGUGAGUUGAUCUAAUUUUGUUGCCUUCAUCUUUUUGCAGUUCAUGUAAAGAUUUAAUGUAUUCCCAUUUUAUGUUGUUUCCACAGGGAUCUACAAUAAUGCCACAGGACCACAAGGUGUUACGAACCAGCUUCAGCAUAAGGCAUAUGAUGGAUCCAAGAUGACGUGAACCCUUUGGUGACUGUUUGAUGGAUCUGGGAAACUGGGGUUCAAAUUUGUGGGUUGCAGGUCUGCGCCAAGGUCCCGAAGCAUGGAAAAGUGUGUUGUUGGACCAUCACACAUGAGAGACAUCACCCUUGCUCUAGCAUCAGACAGUUUUAGGAUGCAUUGUCGCACCAGUGUAGCCCUCUCUGACCCAGUCAUGCCAUGCGUUAAGAAGUAUACUACUGGAGCUUUCCAGUGCUCAUGAAUGCAGACAGUCAUUAAUACCAGUGCCUCUGUUGCCAUUGGAAUGCCUUCAUUUGCUAUUUAUGUGCCAAUGUCCACAUAUCCAAUCAUUAUUGUCCCAUCCCACUCUUUGUGCUUCAUGAUGGACAUUUCAUGCAUCAUUAGUGCACAGAGGGUCUCCUGUCCUUUAGCCUGUGCAGCAGAUGCUUUGGCUUCGAGAGAAGUUAGGAUUUCCUCACUAAAUCCAGGAUCUCCUCCAAUGCUGCUGUACCAUCUUAUUGUGGAUGGUUGAGGCAACCCUAAGUUAAAUGUCUCCCUGACAUACUUGUAGGCCUUAGCUGAGUAGAACUGCAAUGUAAGUGCAAAUGACUUUAGGGCUGGGUGAUGUUGUGCACGAAUAAAUCAAUCUCUCUUCAGAAUUUCUAGUUGUACAUCAGGGCAAUUUUCAAGCAUAAAUGCUCCGUUCUCUGUUAACAAUUGAGAUUCCUUUAGGGUCUUGAUGUUCUGAAGGUUUGAAAUUCUUUUUUUGUGUUUCCUGUUUUUUUGAAGGUUCUGUCUGGUAUUUUGUGUGUGUGUGUGUGUGUGUUUAAUUAGUUUUAUUGCUUUAAGCAGUCAUCCAGUGAGAGUCUUUGGGCUGGCAAAGCAAUAGCUGUGCUCAUCUGUCUUGGGGGCAUCAAGAGGAACAUGAGGGGAGGCCUCACUGCAGUCAAACAUUGUCUCUGUUUCUCUUAGGCAGGCAUUAUUUAAAUUAAGAUGCAGGAUGCCAAAGACACAUCAUUCAAAGGCCACCCUCUUAAAGUUCCAGCCAACAGGCCAAGCUGGCUUCCCCUACAAAUCUGCUGUGGAGGGAAAUUGAAAAUUCUUGGCACAGCAUCUGGGCGAAGCCUGACUAUUUGUCCUGUCCUAUCAAAACACUCUGCAGUGAAGUGAUCAGAGCAGAGGCAGGAGUUGGCAGAUGGCCUUGCUUUUCUCUCCACCUGACUGGGUCUUUUGGAUGUCUGAAGAGUUGAACACAAUAAAUAAUACGCUACAUAAAGUUAGGUAGUUUGUUUUAUUUAUUUUCCUGAUUACAUUUUUUUUUAUUGAUUCAUACAGAUAACACAGGAAAGCAAAACAUAUUAUGGGAAUGCACAAUCUUUCCGUCAUUGCUCAGACUGUCCGCAGUAGGCUGAGAGAGGCUGGACUGAGGGCUUGUAGGCAGUGUUGUAAGGCAGGUCCUUACCAGACAUCACCGGCAACAACGCCGCCUAUGGGCACAAACCCACCUUUGCUGGACCAGACAGGACUGGCAAAAAGUGCUCCUCCCUGACGAGUCGUGGUUUUGUCUCACCAGGGGUGAUGGUCGGGCUCGUGUUUAUCGUCGAAGGAAUGAGCAUUACACCGAGGCCUGUACUCUGGAGCAGGAUUGAUUUGGAGGUGGAGGGUCCGUCAUGGUCUGGGGCGGUGUGUCACAGCAUCAUCGGACUGAGCUUGUUGUCAUUGCAGGCAUCUCAGCGCUGUGUGUUACAGGGAAGACAUCCUCCUCCCUCAUGUGGUACCCUUCCUGCAGGCUCAUCCUGACAUGACCCUCCAGCAUGACAGUGCCACCAGCCAUACUGCUCGUUCUGUGCGUGAUUUCCUGCAAGACAGGAAUUUCAAUGUUCUGCCAUGGCCAGCGAAGAGCCCGGAUCUCAAUCCCAUUGAGCACAUCUGGGACCUGUUGGAUCGGAGGGUGAGGGCUAGGGCCAUUCCCCCCAGAAAUGUCCAGGAACUUGCAAGUGCCUUGGUGGAAGUGUGGGGUAACAUCUCACAGCAAGAACUGGCAAAUCUAGUGCAGUCCAUGAGGAGGAGAUGCACUGCAGUACUUAAUGCAGCUGGUGGCCACACCAGAUACUGACCCCCCCCCAUAAUGUGUUCAGGGACACAUUAUUCCAUUUCUGUUAGUCACAUGUCUGUGAAACUUGUUCAGUUUAUGUCUUAGUUGUUGAAUCUUUUUAUGUUCAUACAAAUAUUUGCACAUGUUAUGUUUGCUGAAAAUAAAAGCAGUUGUAAUUGA